rnacentral:rRNA from 1 species
GAGUUUGGAUCAUGGCUCAGGACGAACGCUGGCGGCGCGCCUAACACAUGCAAGUCGAACGGAGCUGAGAGGAGCUUGCUUUUCUUAGCUUAGUGGCGAACGGGUGAGUAACGCGUGAGUAACCUGCCCUGGAGUGGGGACAACAGUUGGAAGCGACUGCUAAUACCGCAUAAGCCCACGGCCCGGCAUCGGGCUGAGGGAAAAGGAUUUAUUCGCUUCAGGAUGGACUCGCGUCCAAUUAGCUAGUUGG